AACUGAAGAGUUUGAUCAUGGCUCAGAUUGAACGCUGGCGGCAGGCUUAACACAUGCAAGUCGAGCGGGGGAAGGUAGCUUGCUACUGGACCUAGCGGCGGACGGGUGAGUAAUGCUUAGGAAUCUGCCUAUUAGUGGGGGACAACAUCUCGAAAGGGAUGCUAAUACCGCAUACGUCCUACGGGAGAAAGCAGGGGAUCUUCGGACCUUGCGCUAAUAGAUGAGCCUAAGUCGGAUUAGCUA
rnacentral:rRNA from 1 species